UUUACAUCUAUAGAAAUGCCCUUCAACAAGAAGGACCCUGCUUUGCUUAUGAAUACUCGGAUUCAUUCCUGGCAUGAAUUGUCUCUCCAGAAUAAAGCAGGAGAUUAACUAUUGGAUUUGUGGUGAAGUUGUACCUGUCCCAAGUGUUUUUCUGUUAGAUUCCAUGCAAUAUGACCCCAUGCACUGCAAUAUUUCUUGGGAGAAGCGUCACAGACAGCAUCCUGGCAGUUACUGCAGCAGUUGUUCAUCUCCAUGAAAAACAUCCAGGCCAGUUGUAGGACAGAAGACAUUAUUUAACAUCUCAGAGAAUGCAGCAAAUAUGGGCAGAAAAGAGGGAAGAGGUGGAAGAUAGAAAGAGAGGAGCUAGUGGAGCUUUCCAGAGCUUUCCCUUGCCUGAUUGCCGAUUUAUACAUGGCCUGCUUCUCCCUUUUGUUUUUACAAUGUGCUUUUAAAAAAGAAUGAAUAAAGGCAGCUCUGCACAUCUUUUCUUAUCUUCCUUCUAGAAACAAAUAUGUCCAAAAGCUUGGCAACAGUAGUCCAAAGAUAAAUCACCUUGUUUUACAGGACUUUGCAGAACCAGCUGCUAACUAAUGGUCAGUUUGAUAGAACCAUUAAUGGGAAAAUCCCAUUUACUACCAAGAAUUCAGGAAAACUUUUUCAUCAGAUAUGGUGCAGAGUGCAUUUUAUUGCAAAAUAUCUUUGUCCUUAAUGAAGCAGGGACAAUAUUGCAAACAACUGGUAUUCCAAUUGCUAAUAAAAAAUUGUCUUGGGGAUCAAAAUCAGAGAUAAAUAUGUAGGUAUUCAUAUUAACCAGCUUCUGGCAGCAUAACAGAGUUGCCACAAACAACAUCAAACUCAGUAUAUCCAGGGAACCUGUGUCAAGAAAAUAAUUCCAUUUUAAAAUAGCAGAUAUCACAUCUUCAUCACUGAAAUGUCAAAAUAUUUGAACUAAGAAAAUGUAAAUAUUAAUGGAUUAAACUAACCUGCCAAGUUGCAGUUGGAGAGCAUUCCAAGUAGGAAGAUGGUGAGUUUUACCAAAAAGUAAAAGCUUGAAUUAUGGACUUUUAAAAAUUUGUUUGUUCAAAACUGAAGUUUUGUGCCAUGUGUAAUCAAUUUCUGGUUGUCUUUCAUUGCACUAAAGUACUAGGAAAAUUUCUGUCAGCAUUAA